rnacentral:lncRNA from 1 species
GGUACCACACUUGCUCGAUGAAUAAACUAUUGUAGAGAUCUGACGGAAGCUGAAUGCAAAAAUUUCAGCUGGGUUAAUUUCUGGAACCUGCUGGCAUAUGGGCAUACGGGAGACCACGACUUAGAGUCUUGAAAGUCGCAAAAAUGCUAGUAGUAGCCAUACAUGCAUAUUCCAAGAUAUAGGUUAAUAUUGUUCAACGAUACAUCAAAUCUAGCCCAUACAUAUCCCUUACUCGAAUGUAUCCAUACUCAAAAAGCAUCGCCCCUUUAGCUACAACGAAACUACUAUUCCAUUAAUGUUCUUUUUACAAUGUUUCAUGUAUUAAUGUGUUAAAUUCGUUCUUACUAUUGAAUUGUAGAUACUGAGUGUUUUUACUCGCUCUUGUGUUAUUUGGUUUUUAUACCAAUUGAAUGUGCAUGAAUGAGGAUCGGGAAUUUCACCGUACUGUUG